rnacentral:lncRNA from 1 species
CAAAACUGAAGGAUUCAAUACCUCACAUUCAAUAUCAAUACAACUGGGCAGAAGAUCAAUAAGGGAAGAGAAGACAUAAACAAUCAGACUACAAACCAAUCAGACCUAACAGGCUUCUAUACAACACUACAAACCAAUCAGACCCAACAGGCUUCUAUACAACACUACAAACCAACCUCUGACCCAACAGGCAUCUAUACAACACACACACCAACCUCUGACCCAACAGGCAUCUAUACAACACUACAAACAAACCUCUGACCCAACAGGCAUCUAUACAACACUAGAAACCAAUCAGACCCAACAGGCAUCUAUACAACACUACAAACCAACCUCUGACCCAACAGGCAUCUAUACAACACUACAAACCAAUCAGACCCAACAGGCAUCCAUAUAACACUACAAACCAAUCAGACCCAACAUGCAUCUAUACAACCCUACAAACCAAUCAGACCCAACAGGCAUCUAUACAACACUACAAACCAACCUCUGACCCAACAGGCUUCUAUGCAACACUACAAACCAAUCAGACCCAACACACAUCUAUACAACUCUACAAACGAAUCAGACCCAACAGGCAUCUAUACAACACUACAAACCAACCUCUGACCCAACAGGCUUCUAUUCAACACUACAAACCAAUCAGACCCAACAGGCAUCUAUACAACACUCCACCCAAUAAGAGCAGGAUAGAUAUUCUUCAACACUCUGGGACAGAAAAUACGGUAUGCCAAUAAAAUAACUCUCAAUACAUAUAAAAGACAGGAAAUCAUACAAUCUAUGUUUUUUAGCCAUAAUGGAGUGAAAUAAGAAAUCAGUAACAGGCCAGGUAUGGUAGCUCAUGCUUGUAAUCCCAGCACUUUGGGAGGCAAAAGUGGCAGGAUCACUUGAGCCCAGGAGUUCCAACAC